GGCGGGCCCCUGCGCAUUGCGGCGUGGUCAACCUGGUCAGGUCGGGAACGAAGCAGCCACAGCCACUUCCCGCAAGUGCCGUAGACAAGGCUCGCCCCU
rnacentral:SRP_RNA from 1 species